rnacentral:snRNA from 1 species
GUGCUCGCUUCAGCAGCACAUAUACUAAAAUUGCAACGAUUAGCAUGGCGCCUGUGCAAGGAUGAUACACAAAUUCGUGACACAUUCCAUAUUUUU